GGGGAGAGAGAGAGAGAGAGAGACAGAGACACAGGCAGACAGAGGCAGAAACCCUGUGAGGAGGUGGACGGACCUAGCCGCCGCACCGGGCUCCCUGUCGCCGGCCCGGGCUCCCUGUCGCCGGCCCGGGCUCCCUGUCGCCGGCCCUGGCCCCACGGCCACCCCAGAGCAACAGAGACCACGAUUCACAGAUUUUUACACAAAUCUCAAGACCAACAUGCCUUAGGACCGACAAAGAAGAGUAGUCUGCAGCCUCCAGCGUUGCCCACCUGCCCAGCCUGCAGCAUCAAUAGCAGGCAUAAAGGUUAUACAACACUGGAAGCUUCAAUAAUGACAAUUCCAUGGGAAAUGUUGGUGCCAAGUGCAAACUUUGCUUUGGUGUAAGUGGGGGGAAGCUUUCGAAGUGAAAUAUAUGAAUUUCUCCAUUGAACAUCACGUCCUUUGUCUCCAGCAGCUAAGGUCAAAAAUGCCUCAAAUCUUAUGGCUGCAAGAGGUAUAAAAAAGGGCUGUCUGACUCCACCAAGAACUGUCUAGACCUUAAUCCACAGGAAGGUGACCAGGAUGGUGGCCUUCGAAAGUGCAAGAACAAAGUGGGCAGACAACAGGCAGCUUCCUCCUUCUGAGGCACGAGUGCAUGAAUUGCCUUCCCCCAGCACGAAGCUGAAUUAAAAUAUUCCUAGCAGAUAGUUCGGAUUGAUAAUCACCUCUACUGUGUUACUCUGGACAUGUCCACACAGCUGACUGGGAAAUAGAAGGGGAUGCUAACAGCUGCUCCAGCAGACAGGUAUUUCAGGGUCAAAGGCCAGCAGAGCUGUGCAUAUUCAGGAUUUUUACUGCCAGUGAAGGAGAUGGGUACUUUCUCAAAACUAAUAAUAAAAA
rnacentral:lncRNA from 1 species